rnacentral:rRNA from 1 species
CCGAACCUGGCGGCAUGCCUACACAUGCAGUCGUACGGAGAGUGGGGCAACUCACUCUCAGUGGCAAACGGGUGAGUAACGCGUGAAUAACCUGCCUUUGAGAAGGGGAUAACUGUCCGAAAGGAUAGCUAAUACCCUAUAUUGCCUUUUGUCACUAAGGCAAAAGGUGAAAGCGAGGCUGUCAAAGGCUUCGGCUCAAAGAGGGGUUCGCGUCCUAUCAGGUAGUUGGUGGGGUAAUGGCCUACCAAGCCAAUGACGGGUAGCUGGUCUUAGAGGAUGAUCAGCCACAGUGGGACUGAGACACGGCCCGCACCCCUACGGGGGGCAGCAGUGGGGAAUCGUGGGCAAUGGGCGCAAGCCUGACCCCGCAAUGCCGCGUGAGGGAAGAAGCCCUUCGGGGUGUAAACCUCUGUCAGAUGGGAAGAUGGGACUAGGGGCUAAUACCUCCUGGUCUUGACGGUACCAUCAGAGGAAGGGACGGCUAACUACGUGCCAGCAGCCGCGGUAAU